GGAGGGGUAGCGAAGUGGCUAAACGCGGCGGACUGUAAAUCCGCUCCUUCGGGUUCGGCAGUUCGAAUCUGCCCCCCUCCACCAUUU
rnacentral:tRNA from 4 species